rnacentral:rRNA from 1 species
GAUGAACGCUGGCGGCGUGCCUAAUACAUGCAAGUCGAGCGAACGGACGAGAAGCUUGCUUCUCUGAUGUUAGCGGCGGACGGGUGAGUAACACGUGGAUAACCUACCUAUAAGACUUGGAUAACUUCGGGAAACCGUAGCUAAGACCGGAUAAUAUUUUGAACCGCAUGGUUCAAAAGUGAAAGACGGUCUUGCUGUCACUUAUAGAUGGAUCCGCGCUGCAUUAGCUAGUUGGUAAGGUAACGGCUUACCAAGGCAACGAUGCAUAGCCGACCUGAGAGGGUGAUCGGCCAAACUGGAACUGAGACACGGUCCAGACUCCUACGGGAGGAAGCAGAAGGGCAUCUUCCGCAAUGGGCGAAAGCCUGACGGAGCAACGCAGCGUGAGUGAUGAAGGUCUACGGAUCGUAAAACUCUGUUAUUAGGGAAGAACAUAUGUGUAAGUAACUGUGCACAUCUUGACGGUACCUAAUCAGAAAGCCACGGCUAACUACGUG